GGUUAAGCGACUAAGCGUACACGGUGGAUGCCCUGGCAGUCAGAGGCGAUGAAGGGCGUGCUAAUCUGCGAUAAGCGCCGGUAAGGUGAUAUGAACCGUUAUAACCGGCGAUACCCGAAUGGGGAAACCCAGUGUGACUCGUCACACUAUCAUUAACUGAAUCCAUAGGUUAAUGAGGCGAACCGGGGGAACUGAAACAUCUAAGUACCCCGAGGAAAAGAAAUCAACCGAGAUUCCCCCAGUAGCGGCGAGCGAACGGGGAGGAGCCCAGAGCCUGAAUCAGCAUGUGUGUUAGUGGAAGCGUCUGGAAAGGCGCGCGAUACAGGGUGACAGCCCCGUACACAAAAGCGCAUGUGCUGUGAGCUCGAUGAGUAGGGCGGGACACGUGGUAUCCUGUCUGAAUAUGGGGGGACCAUCCUCCAAGGCUAAAUACUCCUGACUGACCGAUAGUGAACCAGUACCGUGAGGGAAAGGCGAAAAGAACCCCGGCGAGGGGAGUGAAAAAGAACCUGAAACCGUGUACGUACAAGCAGUGGGAGCACAGGUUUACCUGUGUGACUGCGUACCUUUUGUAUAAUGGGUCAGCGACUUAUAUUCUGUAGCAAGGUUAACCGAAUAGGGGAGCCGGAGGGAAACCGAGUCUUAAUUGGGCGUUAAGUUGCAGGGUAUAGACCCGAAACCCGGUGAUCUAGCCAUGGGCAGGUUGAAGGUUGGGUAACACUAACUGGAGGACCGAACCGACUAAUGUUGAAAAAUUAGCGGAUGACCUGUGGCUGGGGGUGAAAGGCCAAUCAAACCGGGAGAUAGCUGGUUCUCCCCGAAAGCUAUUUAGGUAGCGCCUCGUGAAUUCAUCUCCGGGGGUAGAGCACUGUUUCGGCUAGGGGGCCAUCCCGGCUUACCAACCCGAUGCAAACUGCGAAUACCGGAGAAUGUUAUCACGGGAGACACACGGCGGGUGCUAACGUCCGUCGUGAAGAGGGAAACAACCCAGACCGCCAGCUAAGGUCCCAAAGUCAUGGUUAAGUGGGAAACGAUGUGGGAAGGCCCAGACAGCCAGGAUGUUGGCUUAGAAGCAGCCAUCAUUUAAAGAAAGCGUAAUAGCUCACUGGUCGAGUCGGCCUGCGCGGAAGAUGUAACGGGGCUAAACCAUGCACCGAAGCUGCGGCAGCGAACGUAUCACUUAAAGCGAUUCAGCGGGUUACGAUUGACGGAGCGAAGCGACGUCAAAGCGUAUACAAAGUCGAGUCGGUUUAAGGAUACGUUCGUUGGGUAGGGGAGCGUUCUGUAAGCCUGCGAAGGUGGCCUGUGAGGGUUGCUGGAGGUAUCAGAAGUGCGAAUGCUGACAUAAGUAACGAUAAAGCGGGUGAAAAGCCCGCUCGCCGGAAGACCAAGGGUUCCUGUCCAACGUUAAUCGGGGCAGGGUGAGUCGACCCCUAAGGCGAGGCCGAAAGGCGUAGUCGAUGGGAAACGGGUUAAUAUUCCCGUACUUGGUGUUACUGCGAAGGGGGGACGGAGAAGGCUAUGUUGGCCGGGCGACGGUUGUCCCGGUUUAAGCGUGUAGGUGUGUGUUCCAGGUAAAUCCGGUUCACUUUAACACUGAGGCGUGAUGACGAGGCACUACGGUGCUGAAGCAACAAAUGCCCUGCUUCCAGGAAAAGCCUCUAAGCAUCAGGUAACAUCAAAUCGUACCCCAAACCGACACAGGUGGUCAGGUAGAGAAUACCAAGGCGCUUGAGAGAACUCGGGUGAAGGAACUAGGCAAAAUGGUGCCGUAACUUCGGGAGAAGGCACGCUGACACGUAGGUGAAGUGAUUUACUCAUGGAGCUGAAGUCAGUCGAAGAUACCAGCUGGCUGCAACUGUUUAUUAAAAACACAGCACUGUGCAAACACGAAAGUGGACGUAUACGGUGUGACGCCUGCCCGGUGCCGGAAGGUUAAUUGAUGGGGUCAGCGCAAGCGAAGCUCCUGAUCGAAGCCCCGGUAAACGGCGGCCGUAACUAUAACGGUCCUAAGGUAGCGAAAUUCCUUGUCGGGUAAGUUCCGACCUGCACGAAUGGCGUAAUGAUGGCCAGGCUGUCUCCACCCGAGACUCAGUGAAAUUGAACUCGCUGUGAAGAUGCAGUGUACCCGCGGCAAGACGGAAAGACCCCGUGAACCUUUACUAUAGCUUGACACUGAACAUUGAGCCUUGAUGUGUAGGAUAGGUGGGAGGCUUUGAAGUGUGGACGCCAGUCUGCAUGGAGCCGACCUUGAAAUACCACCCUUUAAUGUUUGAUGUUCUAACGUGGACCCGUAAUCCGGGUUGCGGACAGUGUCUGGUGGGUAGUUUGACUGGGGCGGUCUCCUCCUAAAGAGUAACGGAGGAGCACGAAGGUUGGCUAAUCCUGGUCGGACAUCAGGAGGUUAGUGCAAUGGCAUAAGCCAGCUUGACUGCGAGCGUGACGGCGCGAGCAGGUGCGAAAGCAGGUCAUAGUGAUCCGGUGGUUCUGAAUGGAAGGGCCAUCGCUCAACGGAUAAAAGGUACUCCGGGGAUAACAGGCUGAUACCGCCCAAGAGUUCAUAUCGACGGCGGUGUUUGGCACCUCGAUGUCGGCUCAUCACAUCCUGGGGCUGAAGUAGGUCCCAAGGGUAUGGCUGUUCGCCAUUUAAAGUGGUACGCGAGCUGGGUUUAGAACGUCGUGAGACAGUUCGGUCCCUAUCUGCCGUGGGCGCUGGAGAACUGAGGGGGGCUGCUCCUAGUACGAGAGGACCGGAGUGGACGCAUCACUGGUGUUCGGGUUGUCAUGCCAAUGGCACUGCCCGGUAGCUAAAUGCGGAAGAGAUAAGUGCUGAAAGCAUCUAAGCACGAAACUUGCCCCGAGAUGAGUUCUCCCUGAGACUUAGAGUCUCCUGAAGGAACGUUGAAGACGACGACGUUGAUAGGCCGGGUGUGUAAGCGCAGCGAUGCGUUGAGCUAACCGGUACUAAUGAACCGUGAGGCUUAACCUU
rnacentral:rRNA from 1 species